CGGAUCCGGAUGUGUGGGUGGAGGAAAGGGCCGAACGAACUUUUAAUGACUUUAAUAAGUACGUUGCUGAGAAUCUAGAUAGUUCGGUUCAAUUGACACCUGAACUGUCCACUCAGAUUUGGAAA